UUAAAAGAUAAUCAUAAAUUUAUACAAGCCGUUCCACCUAACUCUGCCACCCUUGAUUACUCUCUUAUUUGUAACGGUACAAAAAAGAUGUUUGGGCAGGAAGUUAUUGUAUUUCAGGGGCGAAAUUAGGCUAUGAGAAUUAAAAAUAAUUUAUUUUUUGAAAUUUUUUUAUUAAAUAACAUUACGUUUGGCUACUAAUAAUUCAAUAUUAAGAUAUAUUAACAACGUGCUGCAAUCACACGAGCACGACGCUGAUCUACGCAAUUAGAAAACUCUUCGACUAAGGUAGAACACUUCAGAAUUU